rnacentral:rRNA from 1 species
GACGAACCGUGCGAACGUUAUUCGGAUUCACUGGGCUUAAAGGGCGCGUAGGCGGCGACUCAAGUCUGGGGUGAAAUCCUUCGGCUCAACCGGAGAAGUGCCUUGGAUACUGGGUCGCUCGAGGGGGAUAGGGGCAUGCGGAACUUCCGGUGGAGCGGUGAAAUGACGUAGAUAUCGGAAGGAACGACCGGUGCCGAAGGCGGCAAUGGCUGGGUCCCUUCGUCGACGCUGAGGCGCGAAAGCCAGGGGAGCAAACGGG